CGUCUAUAUACGUAUAGCAUAUCAAUAAGCGGAGGAAAAGAAACUAACAAGGAUUCCCUUAGUAACGGCGAGUGAAGCGGGAAGAGCUCAAAUUUGAAAUCUUCAAGGUUUACCUUGACGAAUUGUAGUUUAAAGAAGUGUUUUCUGUUGGAGUUUUGGUAAAAGUUCUUUGGAAUAGGACAUCAUAGAGGGUGAGAAUCCCGUAUUUGACCAUUAUCUCCAGCUUUGUGAUACACUUUCAAAGAGUCGGAUUGUUUGGGAAUGCAGUCCAAAAUGGGUGGUAAAUUUCAUCUAAAGCUAAAUAUUGGCGAGAGACCGAUAGCGAACAAGUACCGUGAGGGAAAGAUGAAAAGAACUUUGAAAAGAGAGUUAAACAGUACGUGAAAUUGUCAAAAGGGAAGCGUUUGACACCAGUGUUGUUUUCUCGAAAAUCAAUUAAAAAAGGACCGGAUUUUGUGUUGUAUUGACUUUAUCAGCUUUCUGCACUCUUUUCUUGUCUUUUUUAAUGCACUUUUCGUUUAACAAGUCAACAUCAAUUUCUUUUGUUGUAAAAGGGUCAUUGGAAGGUGGCUUUCACUUUCGGAUGAAAGUGUUUAUAGCCUUUGGCCUUCUGCAAUCGGAGAGAUUGAGGUCUGCAGCGUAGAUCCUUCGGGGCUAGAUACAUUAGAUGCUAAGUUAUAGCCUUUUUCAUAGACAACUUGUUGACUUAUGAAUUAAGUCAUGUAGCUUACUCGCUUAUGCGCUAUUUUACCUACGCUUAGGAUGUUGACUGAUAUGUAGUCGUA
rnacentral:rRNA from 1 species